rnacentral:rRNA from 1 species
AGUAAUGCCUAGGAAUCUGCCUGGUAGUGGGGGACGAACGUUUCGAAAGGAACGCUAUACCGCAUACGUCCUACGGGAGAAAGCAGGGGACCUUCGGGCCUUGCGCUAUCAGAUGAGCUAGGUCGGAUUAGCUAGUUGGUGAGGUAAUGGCUCACCAAGGCGACGAUCCGUAACUGGUCUGAGAGGAUGAUCAGUCACACUGGAACUGAGACACGGUCCAGACUCCUACGGGAGGCAGCAGUU